CAAAAUAAACCACUUGUACAACAGAGGCAAACAGCACACAAUGGUACCACCACCCUUUGCAUUCCUCAUAUGCAAAGAGAAAUAAGUCUCACCCAACAGAGUAGGAACGGGAUUAAGAGUAGAGAAAAUCCUAAUGGCGUUCAGAUCCACAAAAUUGUCGAUGUUGGGGAAUAACACUAGCCCAUAGAUGAGAAGUACAAA
rnacentral:lncRNA from 1 species